GGGCCCGCACAAGCGGCGGAGCAUGUGGCUUAAUUCGACGCAACGCGAAGAACCUUACCAAGGCUUGACAUCAUAUUGAAAAGUACAGAAAUGUACCUCCUUCGGGCAGUAUGACAGGUGGUGCAUGGCUGUCGUCAGCUCGUGUCGUGAGAUGUUGGGUUAAGUCCCGCAACGAGCGCAACCCUCGUCCCAUGUUGCCAGCACUUAGGGUGGGCACUCUUGGGAGACUGCCGGUGUAAAACUGGAGGAAGGUGGGGAUGACGUCAAGUCAUCAUGCCCUUUAUGUCUUGGGCUGCACACGUGCUACAAUGGUCGGUACAAAGAGGUGCGAUACUGUGAGGUGGAGCGAAUCUCAUAAAACCGAUCUAAGUCCGGAUUGAAGGCUGAAACUCGCCUUCAUGAAGUCGGAGUCGCUAGUAAUCGUGGAUCAGAACGCCACGGUGAAUACGUUCCCGGGCCUU
rnacentral:rRNA from 1 species